rnacentral:siRNA from 1 species
UUGUACGGAUGCUGCUUGGA